rnacentral:tRNA from 1 species
UGGGGCGUAGCCAAGUGGUAAGGCAGCGGCCUUUGGCGCCGCCAUUCGUAGGUUCGAACCCUACCGCCCCAGCCA